GGUGUAAAUUCUGAGGAAGUUUAUUGUGUCAUAGGGCCUGUUUGGCCUAGCUUCUAAAAAAGUGAUUUCGAAAAAAGUGAUUUUGAUUUGGAGAAAUGAUUUUGGCGAAGAGCUGUAGAGCGUUUGGCAGAGUUCAGAUAGAAGUGAUUUUUUCUGAAGUGAUUUUGAAAAACUGUUUGGCAAAUUUUUUUUCAUGUUUACAUAAAUUAAUAUUUUUAUUAAAUUUUAUUUUAAAAUAAUUUAAAAUCUAAAUUUAAAUUUGAUUUAAAAUUAAAAUUUUUAUAUUUCAAAAUUGUACAAAAUUUAAAAUUUGAUAUUUUAAUUUAAAAAAUAAUAUAAAAUUUUAAAAAUUUAAAGUUAAAAUAAUUAUAAAAUUUAAAAAUAUAUAUAAUUAUGAAUUUUAAAAUAUAAAAUUUUAAUAUAUAAAAAUAUAAAUUAAAAUUAAAAUUUCAAACUUUAAAUUUAGAAUUUAAAUUUUAAAAUUUAAAAUCUAAAUUUAAAAUUUAAAAUUUAAAUGUAAAAAUAUAAAUAAUU
rnacentral:lncRNA from 1 species